rnacentral:rRNA from 1 species
GAUUUCUGGCGCUGUGUAUGCGGCCCGCCACGGUUACGUGUGUGAGUGCCGCCGUGCGCAUGCCAUCCUUCUAGAUAGAGUGCACUCUCUUCAUUGAGCGGAGUACUAGGUCUAGAUCGUUUACUUUGAAAAAAUUAGAGUGUUUAAAGCAGGCUUUUGCUAUGAAUACAUUAGCAUGGAAUAAUAAUUUAGGACUUCGGUUCUAUUUUGUUGGUUUUGCGUACUGAAGUAAUGAUUGAUAGGGAUAGUUGGGGGUGCUAGUAUUCAGUGGCCAGAGGUGAAAUUCUCGGAUUCACUGAAGACUAACUUAUGCGAAAGCAUU